GUAUUUUUCUUAUUUUUAGUAUUGAGUUGAUUAUUGAAGCAAUGAUGAGCUUCACGGUGCCUUGAGCUUUAUUUAUUUUACUAAAAUAUGUAAGUUUUAAAAAUACUAUGUAUUUUCAUAUAGUAAGCCAUGUUAGUUUAUCUUUGUGAUCUCUCUCAGUCUUUAUAUUUUAUAUUGUUAGAAAAUGUAUACAUUUCGUCGGUAAAAUUAUAUAACUUUUGAACCUUCAAAUGAAUAUUUUGAAAGUAGAGUUGGUCACAGUAGAAAAGAUUUCCUUUCACAAGAUUAUUAGUCUUUUCAAACAGCAAUAAUAAAUUGAUACUUUUAAGAAGUUUAGGAGUUGUGAAUGUGGUAAAACUGAACCUUUCCAGUGAUUUAGUGGAAAGGUCUUAUCAAUCUUAAUUUUUUCUUUUUCAUGAAAGUUUUUGCAUUUGUAUAAAUCAUCAAUAUUUUCUGUUCUAGGGAGGUGUUGUAGCAGGAAAUGUGGCUCAUAUUCUGGACUCAAAUCAUGGAAAGAAGGCAUUACUGUACACUGCGGUAAAUCAGUUGGCUAUGGGAAGCAGUUCAGCAGAAGAUGAAAAAAAUAUUGCACUAAAGACCAUUCAGAAGGCAGCUCUCCUUUCUCCAGGUGAUCCUGCUAUCUGGGCUGGGCUAAUGGCAGCCUGUCACGCUGAGGAUAAACUGGCCUUAGUGAACAACACUCAGCCAAAGAGGAUAGAUUUAUACUUGGCACUGUUAUCUGCUGUUUCUGCUUCAAUUAAAGACAAAAAAUUCUUUGAAAAUUACAACCAGUCUCUUGAAAAGUGGUCUCUCUCACAAGCUGUCACUGGUCUAAUAGACACAGGAAGAAUAUCUGAAGCUGAAACUCUCUGCACAAAGAAUUUAAAAAGUAACCCUGAUCAGCCAGCCGUUAUCUU
rnacentral:sRNA from 1 species